ACCGUGGAUUGAAGAGAAGAGAAGAGGGGGGAAAUGGUGGGUGGUGGGGAAGGGAAAAGGGAGAAGAAGAAGAAGAAGAAGAAGAAGGAAGGGAAUAGGGAUUUGAUUGAUGUGAUUGGAAAAAGGGAGUCGGGAUCUACCGUUCUUGUGGCGGAUGGAUGGGUGUGAUUUCAACGUUUCCGCCUCAGGGUUAUUUUCAGCCCGAAUGUGUAGGAAGAGCUAUCGAGUUCAAU
rnacentral:lncRNA from 1 species